rnacentral:rRNA from 1 species
CCUACGGGGUGCAGCAGUGGGGGAUAUUGCACAAUGGGGGGAACCCUGAUGCAGCGACGCCGCGUGGGUGAAGAAGCGCCUCGGCGCGUAAAGCCCUGUCAGCAGGGAAGAAAAUGACGGUACCUGAAGAAGAAGCCCCGGCUAACUACGUGCCAGCAGCCGCGGUAAUACGUAGGGGGCAAGCGUUAUCCGGAUUUACUGGGUGUAAAGGGGGCGCAGACGGCGAUGCAGGCCAGGAGUGAAAGCCCGGGGCUCAACCCCGGGACUGCUCUUGGAACUGCGUGGCUGGAGUGCAGGAGGGGCAGGCGGAAUUCCUGGUGUAGCGGUGAAAUGCGUAGAUAUCAGGAGGAACACCGGUGGCGAAGGCGGCCUGCUGGACUGCAACUGACGUUGAGGCCCGAAAGCGUGGGGAGCAAACAGGAUUAGAUACCCGAGUAGUC